rnacentral:rRNA from 1 species
UACGUAGGGUGCAAGCGUUAAUCGGAAUUACUGGGCGUAAAGCGUGCGCAGGCGGUUGUGCAAGACAGAUGUGAAAUCCCCGGGCUUAACCUGGGAAUGGCAUUUGUGACUGCACGGCUAGAGUGUGUCAGAGGGGGGUAGAAUUCCACGUGUGAGCAGUGAAAUGCGUAGAUAUGUGGAGGAAUACCGAUGGCGAAGGCAGCCCCCUGGGAUAACACUGACGCUCAUGCACGAAAGCGUGGGAGC